GACGAACGCUGGCGGCGUGCCUAAUACAUGCAAGUAGAACGCUGAAGGAGGAGCUUGCUUCUCUGGAUGAGUUGCGAACGGGUGAGUAACGCGUAGGUAACCUGCCUGGUAGCGGGGGAUAACUAUUGGAAACGAUAGCUAAUACCGCAUAAUAGCAGUUGUUGCAUGACAACUGUUUGAAAGGUGCAAUUGCACCACUACCAGAUGGACCUGCGUUGUAUUAGCUAGUUGGUGGGGUAACGGCUCACCAAGGCGACGAUACAUAGCCGACCUGAGAGGGUGAUCGGCCACACUGGGACUGAGACACGGCCCAGACUCCUACGGGAGGCAGCAGUAGGGAAUCUUCGGCAAUGGACGGAAGUCUGACCGAGCAACGCCGCGUGAGUGAAGAAGGUUGUCGGAUCGUAAAGCUCGGUUGUAAGAGAAGAACGAGUGUGAGAGUGGAAAGUUCACACUGUGACGGUAUCUUACCAGAAAGGGACGGCUAACUACGUG
rnacentral:rRNA from 1 species